AGAACGAACGCUGGCGGCAGGCCUAACACAUGCAAGUCGAACGCCGUAGCAAUACGGAGUGGCAGACGGGUGCGUAACACGUGGGAACAUACCCUUUGGUUCGGAACAACUCAGGGAAACUUGAGCUAAUACCGGAUAAGCGCGAGAGCGGAAAGAUUUAUCGCCGAAGGAUUGGCCCGCGUCUGAUUAGCUUGUUGGUGAGGUAACGGCUCACCAAGGCGACGAUCAGUAGCUGGUCUGAGAGGAUGAUCAGCCACACUGGGACUGAGACACGGCCCAGACUCCUACGGGAGGCAGCAGUGGGGAAUAUUGGACAAUGGGCGAAAGCCUGAUCCAGCCAUGCCGCGUGAGUGAUGAAGGCCUUAGGGUUGUAAAGCUCUUUUACCCGGGAAGAUAAUGACGGUACCGGAGAAUAAGCCCGGCUAACUUCGCGCCAGCAGCCGC
rnacentral:rRNA from 1 species